rnacentral:rRNA from 1 species
UACGGGGGGUGCGAGCGUUGUCCGGAAUCACUGGGCGUAAAGGGCGCGUAGGUGGUUUGAUAAGGGUGUGGUGAAAGUCCGGGGCUCAACCCCCGGAUCUGCCGUGCCGACUGUCAAACUCGAGGACUGUAGAGGCAGACGGAAUUCCGGGUGUAGCGGUGGAAUGCGUAGAGAUCCGGAAGAACACCAGUGGCGAAGGCGGCCCGCUGGGCAGUGGCUGACGCUGAGGCGCGACAGCGUGGGGAGCAAACAGG